UACGUAGGGGGCAAGCGUUGUCCGGAAUCAUUGGGCGUAAAGAGCGUGUAGGCGGCUUGGUAAGUCCGCUGUGAAAGUCCAGGGCUCAACCCUGGAAAGCCGGUGGAAACUGUCAAGCUUGAGUCCGGAAGAGGCGAGUGGAAUUCCUGGUGUAGCGGUGAAAUGCGCAGAUAUCAGGAGGAACACCAAUGGCGAAGGCAGCUCGCUGGGACGGUAGCGACGCUGAGACGCGAAAGCGUGGGAG
rnacentral:rRNA from 1 species